GCAGCGGUAUCGAAGUGGUCAUAACGGGACUGACUCGAAAUCAGUUGACGGGCAACCGUCCGUGGGUUCGAAUCCCACCCGCUGCGCCA
rnacentral:tRNA from 1 species